rnacentral:rRNA from 1 species
UUGAUCCUGGCUCAGAAUCAACGCUGGCGGCGUGCCUAACACAUGCAAGUCGAACGCGACUGAGGGCUUCGGUUCUCAGUUGAGUGGCGAACGGGUGAGUAACACGUGGGUGACCUACCUUCGAAUGGGGGAUAACGUCCCGAAAGGGAUGCUAAUACCGCAUAACAUCCUGUCCUUGAACGGAUGGAGAUCAAAGCCGUGGAUCGCAAGACCUGGCGUUUGAAGAGGGGCCCGUGCCUGAUUAGCUAGUUGGUGGGGUAACGGCCUACCAAGGCGACGAUCAGUAUCCGGCCUGAGAGUGCGGGCGGACACACUGGGACUGAGACACGGCCCAGACUCCUACGGGAGGUAGCAGUGGGGAAUUGUUCGCAAUGGGCGCAAGCCUGACGACGCAACGCCUCGUGGAGGACGAAGAUCUUCGGGUCGUAAACUCCUGUCGAGUGGGAAGAUCGCUUCGGGGGCGAAUAUCCUCCGGAAUUGACGGUACCACUAAAGGAAGUCCCGGCUAACUCCGUGCCAGCAGCCGCGGUAAUAAGGU